GUGUGGGCUUAGCCGUGUGGUUACUUCAUAUCAACAGAAUCAUUAGGCUCUACCGCACUUGGAAACCCCUGGUGCUGUCCCAUGCAGUU
rnacentral:vault_RNA from 1 species